rnacentral:tRNA from 1 species
UGGGGCGUAGCCAAAUGGUAAGGCAGGAGACUUUGGAUCUCCCAUUUGGUGGUUCGAGUCCACCCGCCCCAGCCA